CCUACGGGUGGCAGCAGUGGGGAAUAUUGGACAAUGGGGGCAACCCUGAUCCAGCCAUGCCGCGUGUGUGAAGAAGGCCCUCGGGUUGUAAAGCACUUUCAGUGAGGAAGAACGCCUGGUGGUUAAUACCCAUCAGGAAAGACAUCACUCACAGAAGAAGCACCGGCUAACUCCGUGCCAGCAGCCGCGGUAAUACGGAGGGUGCGAGCGUUAAUCGGAAUUACUGGGCGUAAAGCGCGCGUAGGUGGCUUGAUAAGCCGGUUGUGAAAGCCCCGGGCUCAACCUGGGAACGGCAUCCGGAACUGUCAAGCUAGAGUGCAGGAGAGGAAGGUAGAAUUCCCGGUGUAGCGGUGAAAUGCGUAGAGAUCGGGAGGAAUACCAGUGGCGAAGGCGGCCUUCUGGACUGACACUGACACUGAGGUGCGAAAGCGUGGGUAGCAAACAGGAUUAGAGACCCCUGUAGUC
rnacentral:rRNA from 1 species